rnacentral:lncRNA from 1 species
GUGAACGUUUUUUAUUUUAUUUCUUAAAUGGUUAAGAAAUUGGUUUGUUAAAAGGUUGUUGUCAUGUUCCUCUAAUCAUAUCUUAAUUGAUAAAUACAAUAUAUUAUAAUAAGUAGGUGUCGAUGUUCGAUCCCUAAACACCCACAUCAUUUUGUUGCCAGUUGUACCUUCUUGUUGUUUGAAGGACUAUUCUCCAUCCUCAUUCAGA